GUGAUAGAAUGUUAUUGUGAUAGAAUGUUAGUGAGAUAGAAUGUUAGUGUGAUAGAAUGUUAGUGUGAUAAAAUGUUAGUGUGAUAGAAUGUUAGUGUGAUAGAAUGUUAGUGUGAUAGAAUGUUAGUGUGAUAAAAUGUUAGUGCGAUAGAUUGUUAGUGUGAUAGAAUGUUAGUGUGAUAAAAUGUUAGUGUGAUAGAAUGUUAUUGUGAUAGAAUGUUAGUAUGAUAGAAUGUUAGUGGGAUUGAAUGUUAGUGGGAUAGAUUGUUAGUGUGAUAGAAUGUUAUUGUGAUAGAAUGUUAGUUGUAAUAGAAUCUUAGUGUGAUAGAAUGUGAUAGAAUGUUAGUGUAAUAGAAUCUUAGUGUGAUAGAAUGUGAUAGAAUGUUAGUGUGAUAGAAUCUUAGUGUGAUAGAAUGUGAUAGAAUGUUAGAGUGAUAGAAUGUUAGUGGGUUAGAAUGUUAGUGGGUUAGAAUGUUAGUGGGAUAGAAUGUGAUAGAAUGUUAGAGUGAUAGAAUGUUAGUGGGUUAGAAUGUUAGUGGGAUAGAAUGUGAUAGAAUGUUAGUGUGAUAGAAUGUUAGUGUGAUAGAAUGUUAUUGUGAUAGAAUGUUAGUGUGAUAGAAUAUUAGUGUGAUAGAUUGUUAGUGUGAUAGAAUGUUAGUGGGA